UACGUAGGCAGCAAGCGUUGUUCGGAGUUACUGGGCGUAAAGAGUGCGUAGGCGGUCCUGUAAGUUUGGUGUGAAAUCUCCCGGCUCAACUGGGAGGGUGCGCCGAAGACUGCAGGGCUUGAGUAUGGGAGAGGUAAGCGGAAUUCCUGGUGUAGCGGUGAAAUGCGCAGAUAUCAGGAGGAACACCGGUGGCGAAGGCGGGUCUCUGGGCCGAUACUGACGCUGAGGAGCGAAAGCGUGGGGAGCGAACAGG
rnacentral:rRNA from 1 species